rnacentral:rRNA from 1 species
GCCAAGGGGACAGCUACCAUGCAGUCGACGGUAACAGGAAGAGCUUGCACUUCGCUGACGAGUGGCGGACGGGUGAGUAAUGCUUGGGAACUUGCCUUUGCGAGGGGGAUAACAGUUGGAAACGACUGCUAAUACCGCAUAACGUCUACGGACCAAACGGGGCUUAGGCUCCGGCGCAAAGAGAGGCCCAAGUGAGAUUAGCUAGUUGGUAAGGUAAAGGCUUACCAAGGCAACGAUCUCUAGCUGUUCUGAGAGGAAGAUCAGCCACACUGGAACUGAGACACGGUCCAGACUCCUACGGGAGGCAGCAGUGGGGAAUAUUGCACAAUGGGGGAAACCCUGAUGCAGCCAUGCCGCGUGUGUGAAGAAGGCCUUCGGGUUGUAAAGCACUUUCAGUUGUGAGGAAAAGUUAGUAGUUAAUACCUGCUAGCCGUGACGUUAACAACAGAAGAAGCACCGGCUAACUCCGUGCCAGCAGCCGCGGUAAUACGGAGGGUGCGAGCGUUAAUCGGAAUUACUGGGCGUAAAGCGCACGCAGGCGGUUUGUUAAGCUAGAUGUGAAAGCCCCGGGCUCAACCUGGGAUGGUCAUUUAGAACUGGCAGACUAGAGUCUUGGAGAGGGGAGUGGAAUUCCAGGUGUAGCGGUGAAAUGCGUAGAUAUCUGGAGGAACAUCAGUGGCGAAGGCGACUCCCUGGCCAAAGACUGACGCUCAUGUGCGAAAGUGUGGGUAGCGAACAGGAUUAGAUACCCUGGUAGUCCACACCGUAAACGCUGUCUACUAGCUGUUUGUGACUUUAAGUCGUGAGUAGCGAAGCUAACGCGAUAAGUAGACCGCCUGGGGAGUACGGCCGCAAGGUUAAAACUCAAAUGAAUUGACGGGGGCCCGCACAAGCGGUGGAGCAUGUGGUUUAAUUCGAUGCAACGCGAAGAACCUUACCUACACUUGACAUGCAGAGAACUUUCCAGAGAUGGAUUGGUGCCUUCGGGAACUCUGACACAGGUGCUGCAUGGCUGUCGUCAGCUCGUGUCGUGAGAUGUUGGGUUAAGUCCCGCAACGAGCGCAACCCUUGUCCUUAGUUGCCAGCAUUCAGUUGGGCACUCUAAAGAAGACUGCC